UACGAAGGGGGGCUAGCGUUGCUCGGAAUCACUGGGCGUAAAGGGUGCGUAGGCGGGUCUUUAAGUCAGGGGUGAAAUCCUGGAGCUCAACUCCAGAACUGCCUUUGAUACUGAAGAUCUUGAGUUCGGGAGAGGUGAGUGGAACUGCGAGUGUAGAGGUGAAAUUCGUAGAUAUUCGCAAGAACACCAGUGGCGAAGGCGGCUCACUGGCCCGAUACUGACGCUGAGGCACGAAAGCGUGGGUAGCAAACAGG
rnacentral:rRNA from 1 species